UACCCGCAGCUCAAGUGGUGGUCAUUAUUAUUGGGCCUAAAGCGUCCGUAGCUGGCUUGUUAGAUGCCUGGGUAAAUCGAUGCGCUUAACGCAUCGAAUUCCGGGUAGACCGGCAAGCUCGAGACGGGGAGAGGCGUGAGCUACUCGAGGGGUAGGGGUAAAAUCCUGUAAUCCUUCGGGGAGGACCAGUGGCGAAGGCGUCACGCUAGAACGGCUCUGACAGUGAGGGACGAAGCCCUGGGGCGCAAACCGG
rnacentral:rRNA from 1 species